ACCCUUUAAUGUUUGAUGUUCUAACGUGGACCCGUAAUCCGGGUUGCGGACAGUGUCUGGUGGGUAGUUUGACUGGGGCGGUCUCCUCCUAAAGAGUAACGGAGGAGCACGAAGGUUGGCUAAUCCUGGUCGGACAUCAGGAGGUUAGUGCAAUGGCAUAAGCCAGCUUGACUGCGAGCGUGACGGCGCGAGCAGGUGCGAAAGCAGGUCAUAGUGAUCCGGUGGUUCUGAAUGGAAGGGCCAUCGCUCAACGGAUAAAAGGUACUCCGGGGAUAACAGGCUGAUACCGCCCAAGAGUUCAUAUCGACGGCGGUGUUUGGCACCUCGAUGUCGGCUCAUCACAUCCUGGGGCUGAAGUAGGUCCCAAGGGUAUGGCUGUUCGCCAUUUAAAGUGGUACGCGAGCUGGGUUUAGAACGUCGUGAGACAGUUCGGUCCCUAUCUGCCGUGGGCGCUGGAGAACUGAGGGGGGCUGCUCCUAGUACGAGAGGACCGGAGUGGACGCAUCACUGGUGUUCGGGUUGUCAUGCCAAUGGCACUGCCCGGUAGCUAAAUGCGGAAGAGAUAAGUGCUGAAAGCAUCUAAGCACGAAACUUGCCCCGAGAUGAGUUCUCCCUGAGACUUAAAGUCUCCUGAAGGAACGUUGAAGACGACGACGUUGAUAGGCCGGGUGUGUAAGCGCAGCGAUGCGUUGAGCUAACCGGUACUAAUGAACCGUGAGGCUUAACCUUACAACGCCGAAG
rnacentral:rRNA from 1 species